CGAACGGGUGAGUAACGCGUGAGGAACCUGCCUCAAAGAGGGGGACAACAGUUGGAAACGACUGCUAAUACCGCAUAAGCCCACGGCUCGGCAUCGAGCAGAGGGAAAAGGAGUAAUCCGCUUUGAGAUGGCCUCGCGUCCGAUUAGCUAGUUGGUGAGGUAACGGCCCACCAAGGCGACGAUCGGUAGCCGGACUGAGAGGUUGAGCGGCCACAUUGGGACUGAGACACGGCCCAG
rnacentral:rRNA from 1 species